CUGAGGGAGGGCCAGUUUUCAGGGAGCACUGCACUGUCAGAGCAUCAAUAAGAAGGGUCUGCUAUGUUCUCAUUGGGUCAAUAUUGAAGGAAUUCUGCAUUAUCAGAGUGUUAAAAUUCAGGGAAUGCAACAAUUUCAGAAAGAUGAUGUUGAUGCGGUGGUGGGGGGGGGCACGGUAGCAUAAGGUGGUGAUGGGAAAGUGGUAAGUCAUGCAACACCACUGAAGGGUCAGCACUGAGAGAAAGUCACCCUCUCAGAGGGUCAAUAUUAAGGGAGAGCUUCACUGUCAGGAGGUCAAUCUUCAGACAGUGCUCCAGGACUGAGGCUCAAUAUUAAGUGACUGCAAUACUGUCAGAGGGUCAAUGAUGAGCACGUGCUGAAGUGUUGUAGAGUAAGUACUGAGGGAGUGCUGCAUUGUCAGUGUCAUCAAUGAGUGAGCUCCACACUGUCGGAAGGCCAAUUUUUAGCAAGUGCUGCACUGUCAGAAUGUCACUACUGAGGGAGAACUGCACUGUCAGAACAGUGAGUCAUCACAGAGCACUGCACUGUCAGAGGGUCAAUAUUAAUGGUAUGCUACACAGAGUUGGGUUAGCAAUGAGGGAGUGCUACACUGAGGGGAGUCAGUACGAAGGGAAACUGCCCUCUGAGAGGGUCAACAGUAAGAGUGUGCCAGCGGUUCAGUGCUGGGGAAUUACAGCACUGAGAGACGGUCAGCAGUCCCUCAAGUCCUGACUCUCUGACAGAUAAGCCACUCCCAGAGAUUCGGUACUCCGUCAUAACUAGCCGCCUGGCAACAAGGUACAAACUCAGAACUGACCCUCUGGCCAUUAUGCCCUCUCUCUGUUUUGACAUUUUAAACAUGAGGGUCUUCCCUUAAUCAUGGGGAUUUUCAGCACUUCCUCAGUACUCCUGGCCCCCUGACAGUGUUGCACUACCUCAAACUGACCAUAUUAAAAUGAGGCAUCAUCUCAAUUUGAUCCUUUGACAAUGAUGCACUCCCUCAGCAUGCACCCUCUAACAAUAAGGCACUCCAUCAGUAGUGACCCUCUGCUGAUAGUGCUGCAGGACCUCAGUACUGAUCCUCCGAUUGUGCGAUUCCCUCAAUUCGUAUCCCAUUACAAUGAGGCACUGCAUUCGUAUGGCCCUCCGACGAAGUAGCACAGCCUCAGAAGUGAUCCAUUGACAAUGAAGCUUUCCCUCGGGACUGACCCUCUGAGUGCUACUCGACCACAGCAGUGACACUCUAAUCCUGCAUAACUGUCUCAAUUCUGACCUCAAUCCUGACCCUCUGAUUGUGAGGCACUCGGUUCUGACCCUGUUACAUUGACAUUGCAGUUCUUCCUCAUUGUUGACCCUCUUGCAGUGCAGAAUUCGCUGACGCUCACGCACUCCCAAUGCGGCAUACCUUUAAUACUGAACAUCUGAUAGGACUGCAGGGAACUGACUCUGACAGUGCAGCAUUCUCUCAGUAUUGACCCUCUGACAGUAUUUCGGGGAGUGCUGCACUGUCAGAGAGUCAGAACUGAGGAAGAGCUGCACUGUCAGUGGGCAAAUAUUCAUGGAUUGCUUGGGUCAAUUUUAAUGGAGUUGUGCAGUGUGACACAUUCAAUAUUAAGAGAGUACUGCACUGUCAGAGGGUCAAUGAUGGGAGAGUGCUGUGGUGUUGGAAGGUGUGUCCUGAAAGGGAGCCGCCCUGCCAGAGGGCCUAUAUUAAGGCAGUGCAGCAUUGUGAGAGGGUCGAUAUUUAGUGCAUGCUCCUGUCUCAGAGGGUCAAUUUGAUGGGACAACAUGCCUCUGAAACUAACUUGUUGGAGUGCUGCACCGCCUGAGGGUUCGUCUGAAGGGAGUGAUGCCCUGUCAGAUGAUGAGCUUUCCCUCAUCUUUAACCGUCUGACAGUGCAGCACUCCCAUAAUAUUAACCCGCUACCAGUGUGGCACUUGCUUACAAUUGAACUUCUGACAGUGCACAAGUCCAACAAAAUGAUCCUCUUGAGUGUCGCGCACACUCAAUAUUGGCCCUCCAACAGUGCAGCACUCCCUCAGGACUGACCGUCUGACAUUGAUACGUGGAUCGUGUAGCAAUCCUGUAAUAUUGACCCACUGACACAGCAGAACUUCCUCAAUAUUGUUUUUCUGACAGUAUUGCACUCCUGAUCCUUCGGCAGUGCCCCUUGAUAUCAAUCUUUUCACAUUAGACCACUCCCUCAGCACUAACUCUCUGAAUGUGCAGCACUUCUCAGGACUGAUUCUGUGAUAUUUCAGCACUCCCACAUCAUUAACCGUCUGACAGUGCAGCCCUCCCUUUAUAUCAACCCUCCAACAGUGCAUUGUUUCCUUAAUAUUGGACCUCUGAUUGUGUGAUACUCCCUCAGUGCGAAACUCUGACAAUACAGCACUCUCUCUGAAAUAACUCUCUGAUUAAGCACUUCCUCUGUGCUAACCCUCUGAAAAUGGAGCUUUCUCUCAUUACUGACCCUUUGCAGUGCUGCACUGCCUCAGUACUCACUCACCACAAGUGCAGCACUCCAUUAAGAGUGAUCCUCUGACAGUGUGGCACUCCCCUAAUAUUGGUCCACUGACUGUGUGGCACUCCCUUAAUACUGACCUGCUCGCGGUGCAUCACUGCUCUAAUAUCAAACCUGCAGCUCUAUCAGAGGGUCUGUCCUGAGCAAGUGCCCCAUCGUCAGCAUGUCAAUUCUGAGGCAGUGCCUCCAUAUCAGUGAGUCAACAUUGAGGUAGCUCCUGACGGUCAGAAUUACGGGAGUGCCUCAUAUUUAGAGGGUCAUUAACUGAGGGACAGCCUCAUGAUCAGCGGGUCAGUCUUUACGGACUGCCUUAUAGCCAGUGUGUCAGUUCUGAGGCAGUGCCCUCAAUGUAACAGAUUUAGAAAUGGGGUAGGGGGCACAUGAUUAGAAGGUCAGUAGUAAGCUAUUGGUACUUUGUCAGAGGGUCAGUCCUCAGCGAGUGCCUCAUUGACAUGGGGUCCAUACAGAGGGUUUGCACUGAGGGAAUGCUUCCUUGUCAGAGAUUCAGAACUGAGAAAGUGCCUCAUUGUCAGAGGCUCAUUCCUGAGGCAGUGCCUCAUUGUCAGAGUGACAUAAUCAGAUCGCACUCCCUCAAUUCUAAACCUUAAUACUGACCCUCUGACAAUGAAUCACUGCCUCAGGACUGACCCUAUGACAAUGAAGUGUUCCUCAGGAUUGAACCAUUGACGAUGUGACUCUCCAUUUGUGUUGACCUUCUGAUAAUGGGGUUCUCCUUAAGUACUGACCCUCUGACGGUUGUGCACUGCCUCAGUACUGACCCUCUAAAUAUCUGCCACUCCGUCAAUUCUGACCUCCUUACGAUGAGGCAUUACCUCAAUACUGACUGGGGUGCAGGUCUCUGGCACAGAGUCUGUUGCUCUUGCAACGAAGGGAAGUGGGUAUAGGAGGAGAGUGUUAGUCAUUGGGGACUGAAUAGUUAGAGGGACAGAUAGAAGGCUUGUUUGGUACCGAAGAGACUCACGAUUGGUGCGUUGCCUCCAGGUGCUAGGGUCCGUGUUGUCUCGGAUAGUGUCUUUGGGGUCCUGAAGGGAGAGGGUGACCAGCCCCAAGCCAUGGUCCACAUAGGUACCAACGACAUAGGUAGAAAGAGGGAUAGGGACGUCAGGCAGGAUUUCAGGGAGCUCCGCUGGAAGCUGAGAGCUCAAACAAACGGAGUGGUUAUCUCUGGUUUGUUACCCGUGCCAAGUGAGAGCGAGGCAAAGAACAGGGAGAGAUUUCAGCUGAACACGUGGCUGCAGGUGGGAGGGCUUCAGGUACAUGGACAAUUGGGGCUCAUUCUGGGGAAGGUGGGACCUGUACAAACAGGACGGUAUCCACUUGAACCAGAGGGGCACUAAUAUCCUGGGUGGGAAAUUGGCUAGUGCCAUUCGGGUGGGUUUAAACUAGCUUAGCAAGGGGAUGGGAAACUGUGGUGUAGUUUCAGUACACAGGAGAAAGAGAAUAGAUAGGACAUGGACAGGAUCUCAGUGUCACAGGAGUGUGCUGGCAAACAGCAAGCUGAAUUGAAGUGCGUCUACUUGACUGCCAGGAGUAUCCGGAAUAAGCGAGGUGAGCUUGCAGCAUGGAUAGGUACCUGGGGCUUCGAUGUUGUGGCCAUUACGGAGACAUGGAUAGAGCAGGGUCAGGAAUGGAUGUUGCAGGUUCCAGGGUUCAGAUCUUUGAGUAAGAUCAGGUAAGGUGGGAAAAGAGGGGGAGGUGUGGCUUUGUUUGUCGAGGACAGUGUAACGGAGGCUGAAAAAACUUUUGAGGAGGACUGGUCUACUGAGGUGGGAUGGGCUGAUGCCAGAAACAGGAGAGGGGAGGCCACACUGUUGGGAGUUUUUUAAUAGGCCUCUGCAAAGUUCCAGGGAUCUGAAGGAGAGGAUUGGCAAAACGAUUCUGGGCAGGAGUGAAAGGAACAGGGUGGUCAUUAUGGGAGACUUUAACUUCCUAAGCAUUGACUGGAAAUGCUGUAACUCUCGUACGUCGGAUGGAUGAGUUUUCGUCCAAUGCACGCAGGAGCGUUUCCCGACACGGUACGUCGAAGGGCCGACAAGAGGGGAGGCCACGCUGGAUCUGGUACUUGACAGUGAACCAGGCCAGGUGUUUGAUUUCGUGGUCGAUGAGCACUUUGGAGAGAGUGACCAUAAUUCGGUUACGUUUAGUUUAGCGAUGGAGUGGGAGAGGAACAUGCCACAGGGCAAGACUUAGAGAUGGGGGAAGGCAAUUAUAAUUGGGCAAGACUUAGGAGGCAAAGAAUGGGGUAGCAAAAUGCAGGGGAUGGGGACAAUCGAAAUGGGGAGCUGGUUGAAGCAACAGAUAUUGCGUGUCCUUGAUAGGUACGUCCCUGUCAGGCAGGGGUCAGUGAUAAGGUAGGGGAACCGUGGUUUACGAAAGAAAUUGUAUCUCGCGUUAAGCAGAAGAGCGAGGCUUAUGUGAUGUUGAGAUGAGAUGGAUCAGUUGAUGCGAUGGAGAGUUACAGAUGAGCAAGGAAGGAUUUAAAGAGAGAGUUAAGAAGAGCAAGGAGGGGUCCUGAGCAGUCAUUCGCAGGUAGAAUAAAGGAGAUCCGUAAAGUUUUCUCAAGGUAUGUGAGGAAUAUAAGGAUGACUGGGGUAGGAAUAGGGCCAAUCAAAGACAGAAGUGGGAAGUUGUGUGUGGACCGGGUAGAGUCGGAGAGGUGCUAAAUGAAUAUUUCUCAUCUGUUUUCACUGAGGAAGAGGAGAAUAUCGUCGAGACGACUGAGAUACGUGCUAUUAGACUUGAAAGGAUUCAGGUUAGUAAGGAGGAGAUGUUAUCAAUUCCAGAAGGUGUGAAGCUCGAUAAAUCCCCUGGGCCUGAGAGGAUUUUUCCGAGAAUUCUCUGGAAAGCUCGGGAGGAGGUGGCGGAGCCCUUGGCUUUGAUCUUUGAGUCCUCAUUGUCUGCAGGUUGAACACCAGAGGACUGGAGGAUUGCAAAUGUUGUGCCCUUGUUCAAGAAGGGCAGUAGAGAUGAGCCAGGCAAUUACAGCCAGUGAGCCUUACGUCUGUUGCAGGAAAAGUUUUGGAAAGGGUUAUAAGAGAUAGGGUUUAUAAUCAUCUCGGAAGCAACAAUUUGAUUGGAGAUAGUCAACAUGGAUUUGUCAAGGGCAGGUCGUGUCUCACAAACCUCAUGGAGAUUUUGAGGAGGUGACCAAGCAUGUGGAUGAGAGAAGGCCAGUUGACGUAGUGUACGUGGACUUCAGUAAAGCCUUUGAUAAGGUUCCACAUGGUAGGCUAUUGGAGAAAAUACGGAGCCAUGUGAUUGAGGGAGAUUGAGCAGUUUGGAUUAGAAACUGGCUUUCGGUAAAAAGGCAACCAGUGGUGUUUGAUGGAAAAUAUUCAGCCUGGAGUCCGGUUACUCGUGGUGUGCCUCAAGGAUCUGUUUUUGGCCCACUGCUGUUUGUCAUUUUUAUAAAUGACUCGGACGCAGGCAUAGGUGGAUGGGUUGGUAAGUUUGCAAAUGACACUAAAGUCGGUGGAGUGGUGGACAAUGUGGAAGAAUGUCGCAUGUUGCAGGGAGACUUGGAUAAAGUGCAAAAUUGGGCGGAAAGGUGGCAAAUGGAGUUCAAUGUGAGGUGAUUCGCUUUGGGAGGAAUAAUAGGAAGGUACAAUACUGGGCCAAUGGAAAGAUUCUUGGUAGUGCGGAUGUGCAGAGGGACCUUGGCGUCCAUGUACACAGAUCUCUGAAAGUUGCCACCCAUGUUGAUCGUGCUGUGAAGAAGGCAUACGGUGUGUUAGACUUUAUUGGUAGAGGGAUUGAGUUCCAGAGCCGUGAUGUCAUGCUGCAACUGCACAAAACGCUCGUGCGACCUGUUCUGGUCGCUCCAUUGCGGGACGAAUUCGGAAGCAUUGGAAAAGGAGCAGAGGAGAUUUACCAGGAUGUUGCCUGGUCUGGAGUGAAGGUCUUAUGAGAGAAGGCUGAGCGACUCGAGUCUGUCCUCAUUGGGGAGAAGAAGGCUAAGAGGGCCUUUAAUAGAAACAUACAAGACGAUCAGAGAAAGAUGAGUCAGGGUGGACGGUGAGAGUCUUUUUCCUAGGAUGAUGAUGUUGGCUUGUACGAGGGGGCUCAGCUACAAAUUGAGGGGUGAUGGAUUGAAGACAGAGUCAGAGGCAGGUUCUUUACCCAGAGAGUGGUAAGGGCGUGGAAUGCCCUGCCUGCCAAUGCAGUUAACUCAGCCACAUUCAGGGCAUUUGAACAGUCCUUGGAUAAGCAUAUAGAUGAUGAUGGGAUAGUGUGAGGGAAUGGGCUUAGAUUAGUUCACAGGUUGGCGCAACAUCGAGGGCCGAAGGACCUGUUCUGCACUGUAUUUUACUAUGUUCACAGAUGACACUAAAAUGAGUGAGAGAGUAAAGUCUGAAGAGGACGAUGAAAAUCUGCGGAAGGAUGCAGAAAGUUUAAGUGAAUGGACAAGGGUCCAGCAGAUGGAGUCCAAUGAUGGUAGAUGUGAGGGUAUCCAUUUUGGUAGCAAUUAUGGAAAAAUGGAGUCUUGCUAAAAUGGUGAAAAAUUGUAGCAUGCUGCUCCGCAGAGGGAGCUGGGCAGCCUUGUGUCUGAAUCAGGUAGUUUGCAGAUGCGGCUGGUAAUUGAGACAGCAAAUGGAAUAGUGUCCUUCAUUGCGAGAGUGAUGCAGUUUAAAAAUCGGGAGGGUAUGCUACAGUUGUUUUGGGUGCUGGUGAGGCUUGGUGUGGAGUAGUUUGUCCAGUUUUAGUCUCCUCACUUGAGCAAGGAUGUACUGGCACCGGAGGGGGUGCAAAGGAGGUUCACGAGGUUGAUUCCAGAAUUAAAAAUGUUGCUGUAUGGGGAGAGAUUGAGUAGACUAGGAUUGCAGUCACUGGAAUUGAGAAGAAUGAGGGGUGAUCUAAUAGAAACUUUUAAAAUUAUGAAACAAAUGGAUCGGAAAUUGUUUCCACUGAUGGGCGAAAUUCCAACUCGGGGGCACAGCCUCAAAAUAAGUGUGAACAGAUUGAAAACUGAGUUGAGGAUGAGCUUCUUCAUCCAAAGGGUUGUGAAUCUGUGGAAUUCUCUGCCCACUGAAACAGUUGAGGUUCCCUUGUUGAAUGUUUUGAAAGCCAAAACAGAGAGAUCUUUGAACAGGAAAGGAAUUGAGGGUUCUGGUGAAUGGGAGGGGAAGUGGAGCUGAGUCCGCAAAAAAGAUCAGCGGAACGAGCUGGAAGAGACAGAUGGCCUACUCCUGUUUUAUUUCUUAUGUCCGUACGUCCUUAGAUUGCCAUCCUUGUCAUUCCUCCUUCCCUGGAAUAGGCCAGUUCUGAACUGAAGAGUAGGUCUUUAAAUAACUCCCACGUAUCAAAUGUUGACUUGUUCAAUAAAAGCUCCUCCCAAUUAAUACUGCUCAGCUCCUACCUAACACUGAUGUAAUUUUCCCUCCCCCAAUUUCAUCCCUUCCCACAAGGUCCUGAUUAUCCAUGGCUGUCUUAAAAUGUAAGGAGAUGCGAUCGCCCAUUUAAGAAGCUCCUGGUUCACUGUUUUUCCCAAGUGGGAGUCAGCUACAGGCUUUCUUGUUCCACGAUGGGGGAGGAAAUGGCCUAGUGGUAUUAUUGCUGGACUGUUAAUUCAGAGACUGAGAUAACAUUCUGGGGACCUGUGUUCAAAUUCCAGCACAGCAGAUGGUGGAAUUUGAAUUCAAUAUAAAAGAAAAUCAUGAAUUAAGAAUAUAAUGAUGACCAUGAAUUCAUUGCCAAAUGUCAGAAAAACUCAUCUGGUUCACUGAUGUGCUUUCGGGAAGGAAACUGCCACCCUUACAUGAUCUGGCCUAUAUGUGACUGCAGACCCACAGCAAUAUGAUUGACUUUGAACUGUCCCCUGGGCAAUUAGGGAUGGACAAUAAACACUACAUAGCUAGGGAUGUCCUCCUCCCAUUAACAAAUAAAUAAAAUUGGAUUCUACAUCUUCCGAUCCAAGAUCGUUUCUUGCUCUCAUACUAAUUUCUUUGCUUACAGUCACUUUCCCUCCUGCCUGUCUUUUUGGAAUGUCGUAUAGCCCUGCGCACUUAGCUCCAGUGUUGAUCUCCUUGUAACCAUGUCUUUGUAAUAGCUAUAAAAUCAUGCCCGUCAACCUAGAAAUGUGCUAUUAAUUUGUUGAUUUUGUUCUGAAUACAAUGAGCACGCAAGCAAAGAGCCAUGAAUUUAGCUUUAUCACUUGAUUUCACCUCUUGACACUAUUUACAGCUGUUUUCUGUUUGUACAUGCUGUCUUUUCCAGUACCACGCUGAGUAUUGUUGUCCCGAUAGUUCUUUCGUAUCAGUCCGUGUGUAUUCCUGGGCGAAUGUGCUCGUGUGGUCUCAGGAGUUGCGGAGGUCACGGCUCUGGGACAGCCGUUUCAUCGCCCUAUGCUGCAGGAAAAAAGCAAUGAAAGUGCCGUUAAUGUUUUGCACGGCGAGCUGCUGCAUACUAACCGGUCUCACACCAUUACCAUCACCUUGCCCUUGUGAAGGCAGAUAUGGAUAAGGUUCUCAAAGCUGAUAGAAGAUUGAAACCACUCUAAUCCUGUGACGAUGAACCUACCCCGGAAGAGAGAGCCCAGAGAAUUGCCAAAGCUGUCCGCAAACAGUCAACAGAAGUGAAGGAAAAUUGGGAGCAAUUGAAAACCCGUGCGAGCAACUGGCAGAAACAGGUGGAAAAGGCGUUGGAGAAACUUCAAGAACUGCAGAAAGCGCUGGAUGAUCUUGAGGCUCAUGUGAUAACAGCUGAGGGGGUCCACACUGAUUGGCAACCUGUGGGUGACCUGCUUCUUGACUCAUUGCAGGAUCACAUUGAUAAAACCACAGUAACUUUCCUGGAGCAAGUCUGGUUUCCUUCGGAUGAGACGACUUUCAGACAUACUCCCUUUAUUAUGAGAUUUAAUUGCGGUAAAAUGAGGAGGAUUUUUAUUCACUGAGACACACGUGACUAUAUGUUUAAAGCAUUGGAAAAUGCGUUCUGUUCGGACUGUCAUGUUAUCUGGUGUUUGUACCAGGCUUUCCGAUUAAAUGCAAGUGAUUAAGGAU